GAUGAACGCUGGCGGCGUGCCUAAUACAUGCAAGUCGAGCGAACGGACGAGAAGCUUGCUUCUCUGAUGUUAGCGGCGGACGGGUGAGUAACACGUGGAUAACCUACCUAUAAGACUGGGAUAACUUCGGGAAACCGGAGCUAAUACCGGAUGAUAUUUUGAACCGCAUGGUUCAAAAGUGAAAGACGGUCUUGCUGUCACUUAUAGAUGGUUCCGCGCUGCAUUAGCUAGUUGGUAAGGUAACGGCUUACCAAGGCAACGAUGCAUAGCCGACAUGAGAGGGGGAUAGGCCACACGGGAAGUGAGAAACGGAAAAGACUCCUACGGGAGGCAGCAGAAGGGAAGAGUACGCAAUGGGCGAAAGCAUGACGGAGCAACGCCGCGUGAGUGAUGAAGGUAUGCGGAUCGUAAAACUCUGUUAUUAGGGAAGAACAUAUGUGUAAGUAACUGUGCACAUCUUGACGGUACCUAAUCAGAAAGCCACGGCUAACUACGUG
rnacentral:rRNA from 1 species